UACCUUUUCUCCAACAUUUAUUGCUAAGUUGAUUUAAAAAUAGAUGGAUGAAUGUUUCUGUCUGCGAUGAACUGAAAUGUUUCUGUCUCUUCCAAUUCCUAUGUUGAAACACUAGCCCCAUGGGAUGGUAUUUGGAGGUGGGAACUUUGGAGGAGGAUUAGGUCAUGAAGGUGGAGCCCUAUUGGGAUUAGUAGCCUUAUGAGGCCAGAGGGAGCUAGCUGGCUCUCCCUCCACCAUAUGCAGAUUCAACAUGAAGACUGCUGUCCGUAAACCAGGAAGAGGGCUUUCACCAAGCACCUGACCAUGCUGGCACCCUAGUCUUAGAUUUCCAGCCUCUGGAACUGUGACAAAUAAACACUUGUUGUUUCUAAGCCUCCCAGUAUAUGGUAUUUUAUUACAGUAGCCCAAAGUAGGAUAAAGACUUGAAAAAAUUUGAAUAUACAUUUUUUUUUUGGAUGAGUGGGGGACAGGGGAGCAUCAAGAAAAUGGAUGGCAGGGAUGGUGCCACAGAGCAAAACUCUCCACCCAGCAGUACUUGAGGAGCCAUUGGCACAAUGAUGGCUCCUCACUGGCUCACCCUAAAGUCAAAUUGACCUGUUGACAAGCGCCACCCAUGAACACAGAGACACAAUUAUUACUAUGAAUGAACACUGCAAAGAAGCCCAAGACAGCUGAGGAAAGUCUUCAGCAUUACAGAGAAAGAGCUACAAAAACAUGGAAAAAACUAAUCUUAAAGGAAACAGGUGAUUCAGAGUUCAGAAGGCACAAAAAAUAAAAAAGUUAUAAUUGGCCUCCUCAGAGAGAUGUGAGAUAUUACAUCCAUAAAACAGGAGCAUGAUGCUGUAAAAGUGAAUAAUCAGAGAAUAAAGAAGCGCUUCUAAAAGUAAAAAAUAUUAUUAUUGAUAUACAAAAUACAAUAGAAGAUUUGGAAGUUAAAUUUUUAAGAUGUCUGCGAGAAUAUAGCAUAAAAAGACAAGAGACCAGAAAUAAGAGAAAAAGAUAAGACACAGAAAUCAAUCUAUAAAGGUUCAAUGUUCAACUGGUAGGAAUUAUAGAAAUUAAUAAGUGAAAAAAAUCAAUGGGAAUAAAUUUUUAAUCAUAUGAGAAAAUUUUCCAGAGUUAAAAAUUUUCACAUUGAAAAGACAGUGGGCUGAUCAGAAUGAUAAUAGAUUUUUUUUUUUUCAGAGUCUCACUCUGUCUCCCAGGCUGAAGUGCAGUGGAGUGACCAUGGCUCAUUACAGCCUUGACCUCCUAGGUUCAGGUGAUCCUCCCACCUCAGGCUCCCAAGUAGCUGGGACUACAGCUGUGCACAACCAUACCCCACUAAUUUUUUGUAAAGACGGAGUUUCACCAUGUUGCCCAGGCUGGUCUCGAACUCCUGGGCUCAGGUAAUCCAUCCAUCUUGGCUUCCCAAAGUGCUGGAAUUCUGAGCAUGAGCCACUGCCCCUGCCUGAAAAUAUCAUUUUGAAUCUUUAGAACACAAAGGUUAAAUGAAGAGAAUUAAACUUAUUAACUAAAAAAAAAAA
rnacentral:lncRNA from 1 species